CCUGAUUGAACUUGAUGCGGUUCCCUCUCCCUCUUGGUUUAACUGACAUUUUUUCUCACAAUUUCUCUCACCUCAUCUCCCUCCUCAACAAAUUUUCUUGAAAUACACUUAAAAAACCGCAAAUUAUGUCGUAAUUUCGCGAAGAUUGUAGAGAUUUUGAGAAAUUUGGUCUCAAUUUUGGUACUUUUGUCCAUAUUAAGUUACAAAUUCACUCGAUUUUGUGCGAAAUCGAAUUAUGCGGCACUUAAUUCUUCAUGGAUCUGAGAAGUUGAUCUCAGACGCAGCUGGAUAUUAGUAGAGAGGAGGAUCACACAUCAUGGAUAACUCUUCAUCAGAUCUUUCAAUCUGGUCAAUUUGCCAGGGGAUGUGUUGUACUUGAUCACGUCCUAAGGGGAUUUAAUAUAGCAAACAUUGCAAAUGCAGUCUUAGCAGCCAUGCUAUUUGAAGAGCUGAUUAAGAAUUUAUAGUCUGCUGAGUUCCUCUUUGCUUCUGUUUAAUUAUAUUUACUUAAUUACUUGUACCUUAUAAUCUGUAUAUUGUGUUGGUUAAGUUCUAAAACAGGCCAUAAUGUGUGCAGCAUAUUGCUAACCCUGCUGGAAGCAAGAAUUAGUGCUUCUGCUUCCUGUUUUUAUUGCCAUUAUUAAACUAACUGUUACACAGACUAACAAUGUGUUAAAGUAAAUAAAAAUUGAACAAAAAUAACCCUAAUAUCUAUUAAAGUAGACUAACUGUUAAAGAGGUUGGCUUGUUAUAGCUCCUGCUUGUGUAGUCAUUUGAGAGUGAUGCAGGCUGUUGUUGUUUACAAUAUGUUCCUGCAUUUUAGCAGUUGGUUUUGGCUUGGUCUGACUGCAGGGUUCAGGUUCUAAGCUUGCAGUAUGUCUUAGGGUGUUGCGAUUGGGUUGUUGUUGUUGCAGGUUGUUAGUUAGUUAGGGGUUGCUAUAUUAUAGACUUGAAGUAAAUAAAAAUUGUACAAAAGUGAACUUAAUAUCUCUUAAAGUAAACUCACUCUCUUUAAAAGAAAACUAAGCCAGUUAGGGGUUGCUAGAUUAUAGACAUGAAAGUAAAUGAAAAUUGCACAAAAGUAAACAUAAUCUUUCUUAAAGUAGACUAAUUCUCUUUAAAAGAAAACUAAAUCAGUUAGGGUGUACUACAUUAUAGACUUUAAGUAAAUGACAAUUGUACAAAAGUAAACUUAAUCUCUCUUAAAGUAAAAUAGUCUUCAAAAGAAAACUAAAUCACUAGAUGAAUAAACUUUUAAAUAGUUCUUGCUAUAAAUUAUUUGUCUUAUGCAUUUUUGUGAUUGACUCGGAGAUUUUAUCUUAGUGUUUAGUAGUUGUGAUAUGAGUUUUUGCCUUUAAUUUUGUAUUUUUUGGGUAUGCUUUUUCAAUCAAUGAGGCAGAGUAUUCGCUUGUUUGGUUGUGUAAUUCAUGGUUUGAUCUUGGACGUUAUUUCGGGGAAGCAUAUGUUUGAGAAAUAAUGGAGUUAAACUGGAAAUAAUGCAAUGAGGCAAAUAUAUGCACAUAUGUAUGACAAUACCACUGAGUUAACAGACAACAAAACUAUAAGUUGUGAUGCUAAUUGCAAA